GCAGAACCUUCUUUUGCCGAGAGACCCACCAAAACCAGCUGCCUCGAGGGUCACUCAGCAAAUAGGUCAGAGUGAUGUGGCCAAAGGAAUUAUUUGCUGCCUUCAAGCUCCAAGAAAGCCCACUGGACUUUGUGUUUUCUUCUUAGCAGAGGCAGUGUACAGUGGGAAAAGCGCCCUCCAGCCUAGUGACUGCAUACCACCAGACACUGGAGGACACGGAGAACACGCACCUGAAGUAGCCCCUGCACUGAGCCACCAUCUGACUGGGUCCACAGUGAUUCACAGUUGGUCCCUCAAACCCACUCAUCUUCUGCACGGGCAGAACAGGCAAGGUGGUCCUCGGCGCGUGUGGCAUCCAUCUGCGCCUCCGUCGGCCAGGCGGCCUCCUCCACACGCAUCUCUACGUCCUCUCCUGCUCUGACAAGGACACGGCGUCUGGACUCCAGGCUCACCCUGCUCCCAUGUGAGCUCAACUCACAACGUCUGCACUGACCCUGAUUACAAAAAAGGUCACACCUGCCAGCCUUCGAGCAGCGCUCCAGGCAGUGCACUUCUGGGGAGGGACCACACGUCACAUGGGCUUUGUCACCUGGGCUCCCAGCCUCCCAAGUUACAGCAACCCCAGAAGACACAGCUCCCUUACUUCUCCUGCUCCCUCGAUGGAGUAUUUCUCAGGGUAGGGUGACCCCUGGGGGUGGGACCCAAACCUUCCCAGCCCGCAGCCCCAGACCUUCCUCCUCUCUCCAGCUGGUCCCACAAACCUGCAUGUCCCCUACACAGCCAGGGCCCCACCUUCCUGCCUCAUCCAGCUUCCACACCCACCAUCCCAUUUGUAGGGGCUCAAACUCAAACACACACACAAAUACAUGAGGUGUCCACUCUGUGUGUGUGACAGGUGUCCCUGAGAACAAACUCACU
ensembl:lncRNA